UGUUUCCCUUUACUUUAUAACACAACAUUAGCGGGAUCUCUGGAGGAAAAGUAAUACUUAAAACCUUAGCUUAGUUGUUUGUUUACGUUCGCUGUACAGCGCCGCGCCAAUCAACUGUGACUGGCUUGCUGCAGAGCGUGAGCGUCUUGGGAAUACCCGACUAAUAUAAUGGAUAUAAUAUGGACACAUAAGACAAUCAAUAUUCGGUAUUUGUUAUGGAUUUAUUGUACAAAUUCCCUGAAAAGAUGCACAUUCCAGGAUGAAUUGAAAAGCUCCCGUAAGGGCUGAGAUGGCAGAGAACAGCUGAUUUGGAACGGAGCAACAGCUGUUCGCUUUCACGGGGAAAAACGAAGGAACUUCAACCUACUUAGGCCUACUAAUUAAUGUUCAAAAGCUAUUAAAUCUUCAACAAAAUAUGCAGAUACUGUCAAAAUCGGUUCCAGG